AUACGUAGGUGGCGAGCGUUAUCCGGAUUUACUGGGUGUAAAGGGCGCGUAGGCGGGGGCGCAAGUCAGGUGUGAAAUCUAUGGGCUUAACCCAUAAACUGCACUUGAAACUGCAUCUCUUGAGUGCUGGAGAGGUAGAUGGAAUUCCUUGUGUAGCGGUGAAAUGCGUAGAUAUAAGGAAGAACACCAGUGGCGAAGGCGAUCUACUGGACAGUAACUGACGCUGAGGCGCGAAAGCGUGGGGAGCAAACAGGAUUAGAUACCCUGGUAGUCCACGCUGUAAACGAUGAAUACUAGGUGUGGGGGGACUGACCCCCUCCGUGCCGCAGUUAACACAAUAAGUAUUCCACCUGGGGAGUACGGCCGCAAGGUUGAAACUCAAAUGAAUUGGCGGGG
rnacentral:rRNA from 1 species